rnacentral:rRNA from 1 species
ACAAGUAGCGGAGCAUGUGGUUUAAUUCGAAGCAACGCGAAGAACCUUACCUAAGCUUGACAUCCCAAUGACAUCUCCUUAAUCGGAGAGUUCUCUUCGGGGACAUUGGUGACAGGUGGUGCAUGGUUGUCGUCAGCUCGUGUCGUGAGAUGUUGGGUUAAGUCCCGCAACGAGCGCAACCCUUGUCUUUAGUUGCCAUCAUUAAGUUGGGCACUCUAGAGAGACUGCCAGGGAUAACCUGGAGGAAGGUGGGGAUGACGUCAAAUCAUCAUGCCCCUUAUGCUUAGGGCUACACACGUGCUACAAUGGGUAGUACAGAGGGUUGCCAAGCCGUAAGGUGGAGCUAAUCCCUUAAAGCUACUCUCAGUUCGGAUUGUAGGCUGAAACUCGCCUACAUGAAGCUGGAGUUACUAGUAAUCGCAGAUCAGAAUGCUGCGGUGAAUGCGUUCCCGGGUCUUGUACACACCGCCCGUCACACCACGGGAGUUGGAGACGCCCGAAGCCGAUUAUCUAACCU